rnacentral:rRNA from 1 species
UGAAUACGAGACGCUAAGGCGUCGAAGUAGUGUAUGUCAUACUUCCAAGAAACGCUUGCACUGUCAUAGAUAAAAAACGCCUGUACCAUAACCGACACAGGUGGGUAGGUAGAGUAUACUAAGGGGCGCGAGAUAACUCUCUCUAAGGAACUCGGCAAAAUAACUCCGUAACUUCGGGAGAAGGAGUGCCUUAUUCGUAAGGUUGCAAUAACAAGAUCCAAGCAACUGUUUAUCAAAAACACAGGUCUCCGCUAAGUCGUAAGACGAUGUAUGGGGGCUGACGCCUGCCCAGUGCCAGAAGGUUAAAGAAGUUGGUUAGCAAUUGCGAAGCUGAUAACUGAAGCCCUGGUGAACGGCGGCCGUAACUAUAACGGUCCUAAGGUAGCGAAAUUCCUUGUCGGGUAAGUUCCGACCCGCACGAAAGGCGUAAUGAUUUGGAUACUGUCUCGGAGAGGGGCUCGGUGAAAUAGACUUGCCUGUGAAGAUGCGGACUACCUGCACCAGGACAGAAAGACCCUAUGAAGCUUUACUGUAACUUGAAAUUGAAAUUGGACUUUAUUCGCGCAGUAUAGGUGGGAGGCGUUGAUUAUAAUCUUGUGGGAUUAUUGGAGCCAUCAGUGAGAUACCACUCUUGUAAUGUUAGAUUUCUAACUUUGAAUCAUUAUCUGGUCAAAGAACAGUUUCAGGCGGGCAGUUUGACUGGGGCGGUCGCCUCCUAAACGGUAACGGAGGCGUACAAAGGUUUCCUCUGAACGGUUAGAAAUCGUAUCUAGAGUGUAAAGGCAUAAGGAAGCUUGACUGUGAGACCUACAAGUCGAGCAGGGACGAAAGUCGGUCUUAGUGAUCUGACGGUACUGAGUGGAAAGGCCGUCACUCAACGGAUAAAAGUUACUCUAGGAUAACAGGCUGAUCUCCCCCAAGAGUUCACAUCGACGGGGAGGUUUGGCACCUCGAUGUCGGCUCAUCGCAUCCUGGGGCGGUAGUACGUCCCAAGGGUUGGGCUGUUCGCCCAUGAAAGCGGUACGCGAGCUGGGUUCAGAACGUCGUGAGACAGUUCGGUCCAUAUCCGGUGUAGGCGUUAGAAUAUUGAGAGGAGCCUUCUUUAGUACGAGAGGACCGAGAAGGACAUACCUCUGGUGUACCAGUUAUCGUGCCAACGGUAAACGCUGGGUAGCUAUGUAUGGAGUGGAUAACCGCUGAAAGCAUCUAAGUGGGAAGCCCACCUCAAGAUAAGUAUUCUCAUC